GCCAAUGCCACCUUCUUGAUCAAUCUGAUUACCGCAAGCUCUACGAAUCCUUGUAAGAGCAUUCAAGUUUUGCUUCCUUCCACUCCACAAAACCCCAGUCAGGCAAACCUCCUGGCUGUCUCUGCACCCCUACCUCUUGAUAGUGUUAGAUGAUAAACCAAGUCAGCAAUCAAAAAGGAAAAAGGGCACCAAAGUCAGUUAGAGAAAAUUAGUUUAUUGCAACCAAUUGUACAUCUAAGCAAAUUAAUUAGCAGUAGCUUGUAAUUUAUGCGAUAUAUAGCUGUAAAUAAACACCAGUGUAAUCAAUACAUAUAACCAAAUUUAGUUUCUUCUUUUCUCUGAAACUUCACAUGGUAUCAGAGCUCUUUCUCUGAUUUUCUUCCGCUUCCUUUGAUUUUCUUUCUCUUUCUCGCUUGCCAAACACCAUCUCGUUAGCCAUUUCCUAGAUUUUGCUUGAUUAAUCUUUGAUUUCUCUACAAAUUAACAGAUUUCCUCUGUCAAUUUGAUUUUAUUUGAUUGAUUCACUCGAUGACGACUCAACUUUGCAUCUAACACAAGAUCCGAUGCAUCACUUUUAUCUCCAUCCAAAUGAGAAUCUAGCUCUUGUUCUGGUUUCACCGGUUUUGACAGGAGUAAAUUAUCAUA
rnacentral:lncRNA from 1 species